rnacentral:rRNA from 1 species
GAGUUUGAUCAUGGCUCAGAUUGAACGCUAGCGGGAUGCCUUACACAUGCAAGUCGAACGGCAGCGCGGACUUCGGUCUGGCGGCGAGUGGCGAACGGGUGAGUAAUGUAUCGGAACGUGCCCAGUAGCGGGGGACAACCACUCGAAAGAGUGGCUAAUACCGCAUACGCCCGUACGGGGAAAGGGGGGGAUCGCAAGACCUCUCACUAUUGGAGCGGCCGAUAUCGGAUUAGCUAGUUGGUGGGGUAAAGGCCUACCAAGGCGACGAUCCGUAGCUGGUUUGAGAGGACGACCAGCCACACUGGGACUGAGACACGGCCCAGACUCCUACGGGAGGUAGCAGUGGGGAAUUUUGGACAAUGGGGGAAACCCUGAUCCAGCCAUUCCGCGUGUGCGAUGAAGGCCUUCGGGUUGUAAAGCACUUUUGGCAGGAAAGAAAUCGUGUGGGUUAAUACCCUGCGCGGAUGACGGUACCUGCAGAAUAAGCACCGGCUAACUACGUG